ensembl:lncRNA
AGGGUCUCUUCUGAAUGUUCUCAUGUGUUUGUUCUGGCCAAUCAGUUGUCAUGGUGGGUGUGUGGUAUGUGGCCAUUGGCUUAUCAGGUCAGAUGACACUGAUUGGGUGGGUGGAAUGGAAUGAAUCUUGAACAAUAACAAAGAUCGGUUAUGCCAGUACGUUAAAGACAACUGAAUUAUGUUGAUCAAGUGAUUUUGUGAAAUAAAAAGACUGAUACACCUGUGCUUUUGUUGAGACGAUAAAACAUUUAAUAAACAGACAGACAUUAUAGUUGUGUCCAAUUCACACCAUCACAUCAGAGGGAAUUAUACACAUGAUUAAAACACACAAGGAUGGCGGUCUGCUGAGGAGAGACGUGUCUAAAAAAACUGCCUUUCAGUUGUCAUCACAUGCUCUAUCCCAUGGUGUCAAUUAUGUAUGUCAGCAUCCUUUCUGCUACUGUUUAAAACAUGAAUGUUACAUUGUGGCUUAUGAUUACCUAAACGGGGUCCCUAUGGUCCUGCUAAUAUGUUUCUCCUGUUCUGUUAGGACAAGGAAUUUGUGUCUGCACCAAAAUUCAUAUUGCAGUCAUAAGACCUCAGGAGCAGAAAGAAAGAGCAUAUCUUUCAAGCUUACAAACAUCAAAAAGAAAACUUAUCUCCACCAAACACUUUAAGGUGUAAUAUCACAAAUGAACCUACAACCACUGUCAAGUUAUCAGGGGAUUCUUAACUUCUGCCCAAACUUGAAAAAGGCCUUGGCCAUCAACAGGGUCAAAAUAGAAGCAACUCAAGACGGUUUCUUCAUUCUUCUUUGAUUUAUUUUAGUUAGUCAUUGGUUCAAAUACUUCUUUUCAGUCUUUUCAGAAUACGUCUUUUUAGGUUGAAAACCUUUACAAGAAACAAAACACAAGAUACAGCAAUUUCAUAAACUGCCUUCCAUCAAAUAUACAAGCAAUUAUCAGGUUAUUCUCACUCUUACACCGUUUCACCAAACAACAUACUUCAAACAAACAUUACUCCCAUUCUACAAUAAACGUGCCAUUACAUGAACUAACAUGAGCACACAGCAGUCAGAUAUAAAUUACACUAACUCAAAACACUUAAGUACACUUUUACAAUAGAUUAACAUCAAACAGAUAACAGCAUCAAAACAUUAUUCUACCAGUAGCAUCCCUGGAAAUGGCCAGCAAGUUAAGUCCCCAAUUCACCAUCCAUCAGCAGUCAACAUGUGAUUUACAAACACUCACACACUAUCUGUGCUUAAAUGACUCUGCACUUCCUACUUCCUGGCAUGACGACCACUGCCUGUUUCAAAAUAAGAGUUUUAUUUUUUCUCAAAACAAAAGUCCCUUUCCAGUUAAGAUCUGACAGCACAACCACACACAUGAUCAUUUCCAAAGAAAACACUCAACAAUACACUCACAAAAGUAUUACAUUGUUUUGUUUGUUUUGUCUUAUAUAACACAUUUUAUUGAUGGCAGUUACUCUAGUGGCCCUAAUUUUAUUGACGGGCAACGAGCAAAGUCCGUCACGCUUGAGCUGAAGCUAUGAUAAGGCGUGUGGGAGCGUUGAGCUGACCCCCCCAUGUUAGCGUGUGGCGUGUGGGAGAGUUGAGCUGACCCCCCCAUGUUUGCCCAUGGUAUUAAAUUAGCUUAAUGAUAUUAAAGUAGGACUUUGCUCGUUGCCAAUGAAAUUAGGGCCCUGACUUUAAAGCUCAUGCUAUGCAUCUGCCUUCAUUUCCUGAAUGAUCUCUUCUGCUCUCGCUUUGCCAAUGAGAGUGUUCAGUUUUAUGUCUCCAUCAUCACACGCAGUGAGAGCCUCGAGAAGCGUCUCCAAAGAGAAUUUUAGAAUUUUAAAUUUUGGCAUGUGAAAGGCCAGGGCCACGUGAUCCCACAGAUAAAAUUCCCUAAACCCACCCUCUACAGUAACUUGUUUGUCAUAUCUGUUUUCAGUCAUUCUAUAGCGGUGUGUUUCAGAGAUGGCUUGAGCACGCCAGAUGAUCUCUCCAUCCCUGUAAGCACACACACCCUCAUCAGUAUCCCCCAACUCUGGGUAACCAUCAUAAUCAUGAACAUUAGGGCUAUGAAUCAGCACAGCGUACUUGACCUGCUGCUUGUAGAUUACAGUUUCAUAAACUCUAAGGACAGGGUGUGCUCCUCCACAGAACUGUGUGCUGUACUUUUUCAUAACAUCAGCCAGUGAGAAAGUGAACCGGAAGUUUCCAUAGCGAGACCAAUCCUUAAACACAGGAGAAGUGCUGAAAUAACGCAGGAAAGGCUCCUGUCGCUCUCUCUCUUCUGGACUCCGAUCAGGGAAGAGUUCCUCCAGGUACCUCUCCUCUGCAGUAGUGAUCUCGUUUUCACCAAUCACUGUCCCCCACCACAAGAGGCCAAGUCUCCAAUCCCCUCCUCUAAACCCGUUGCACUUCAGAACAUCUUUCAUAUCAUCUGUAGUCGUGACGUGAGAUACUCUUGAACAAUGGAACGCUACAGGUCGAGGGUAAUGUGGAACUACGGCAUAGCCCCCAGUUAUUUCAUUUGGUUCAGCCACAUAUUUAUCAGUGUACUGGUUGCGGUGUAUCCUCUUCAGAUCAUCUAUAACCAUAUGUUCCCCACUAAUGUAUUUUUCUGCAGUCCAUCGCUGUUGGAUUGGGUUCUGUUCAGACAAGGAUUCAAUAUUUGUGGGUGUUUGUUUUGAAUUUCCAUUUUUCUUAUUCAAUUACUUAUAAAGAUUAAUUCACUGUGUAAUAAAUACUAAAUUCAUACCUCGUUUUGAGGGUGAGUGGCCAUCCUUUAGAAUUCUACUGGUGCGACGGUUGGAAUGUCUCAGUCUU